rnacentral:rRNA from 1 species
UUGGCUCAGGAUGAACGCUGGCGGCAGGCUUAACACAUGCAAGUCGAACGAAGCACUGAAGAAUGGAGAUUCGUCAAAGUUCUUCUUUGACUGAGUGGCGAACGGGUGAGUAAUGCGUGAGCAACCUGCCCUUCAGAGGGGGACAACAGUUGGAAACGACUGCUAAUACCGCAUGACGUAUCCGGAUGGCAUCAUCUGGAUACCAAAGGAGAAAUCCGCUGAGGGAUGGGCUCACGUCUGAUUAGCUAGUUGGUAGGGUAACGGCCUACCAAGGCUGCGAUCAGUAGCCGGACUGAGAGGUUGAACGGCCACAUUGGGACUGAGAUACGGCCCAGACUCCUACGGGAGGCAGCAGUGGGGAAUA